UUCGCAUGAUUUUAUGAUUAAAGCUUCGGCGGUAAAAGAUGAGCAUGCGUCCUAUUAGUUAGUAGGUGAGGUAACGGCUCACCUAGACUACGAUAGGUAGGGGUCCUGAGAGGGAGAUCCCCCACACUGGUACUGAGACACGGACCAGACUCCUACGGGAGGCAGCAGUGAGGAAUAUUGGACAAUGGACGAAAGUCUGAUCCAGCUAUGCCGCGUG
rnacentral:rRNA from 1 species